GAACCGUCCGAACGUUAUUCGGAAUCACUGGGCUUAAAGGGUGCGUAGGCGGCGCGGAAAGUUGGGUGUGAAAUCCCUCGGCUUAACCGAGGAACGGCGCCCAAAACUACCGUGCUCGAGGGAGAUAGAGGUGAGCGGAACUUAGGGUGGAGCGGUGAAAUGCGUUGAUAUCCUAAGGAACACCGGUGGCGAAAGCGGCUCACUGGAUCUCUUCUGACGCUGAUGCACGAAAGCUAGGGUAGCGAACGGGAUUAGAUACCCCGGUAGUCCUAGCCGUAAACGAUGAGCACUGGAUUGGAAGGUCCUCCAUAGCCUUCCGGUCGCAACGAAAGCGUUAAGUGCUCCGCCUGGGGAGUAUGGUCGCAAGGCUG
rnacentral:rRNA from 1 species